rnacentral:sRNA from 1 species
AGCAAUUAGUGCUGCUCUAGGGAGCAGUGGUGAAGAUUACGUCUUUGUCACGCCAGUAGAAGUAGACUCAGCCGGGUCAUAUAUUUCACACGACAUUUUGCACAACGGCAGGAAAAAGCGAUCGGCGCAGAAUGCCAGAAACUCCCUGCACUACCGAUUUUCAGCAUUUGGACAGGAACUGCACUUAGAACUUAAGCCCUCGGCGAUUUUGAGCAGUCACUUUAUUGUCCAGGUACUUGGAAAAGAUGGUGCUUCAGAGACUCAGAAACCCGAGGUGCAGCAAUGCUUCUACCAGGGAUUUAUCAGAAAUGACAGCUCCUCCUCUGUCGCUGUGUCUACGUGUGCUGGCUUGUCAGGUUUAAUCAGGACACGAAAAAAUGAAUUCCUCAUCUCGCCGUUACCUCAACUCCUGGCCCAGGAACACAACUACAGCUCCCCUGCGGGUCACCAUCCUCACGUACUAUACAAAAGGACAGCAGAGGAGAAGGUCCAGGGGUACCGUGGCUACCCCGGCUCCGGCCGGAAUUAUCCUGGUUACUCCCCAAGUCACAUUCCCCAUGCGUCUCAGAGUCAAGAGACAGAGUAUCACCAUC